UGGAGAGUUUGAUCCUGGCUCAGGACGAACGCUGGCGGCGUGCUUAACACAUGCAAGUCGAACGGUGACGCUAGAGCUUGCUCUGGUUGAUCAGUGGCGAACGGGUGAGUAACACGUGAGUAACCUGCCCUUGACUCUGGGAUAACUCCGGGAAACCGGGGCUAAUACCGGAUACGAGACGCGACCGCAUGGUCGGCGUCUGGAAAGUUUUUCGGUCAAGGAUGGACUCGCGGCCUAUCAGCUUGUUGGUGAGGUAAUGGCUCACCAAGGCGUCGACGGGUAGCCGGCCUGAGAGGGCGACCGGCCACACUGGGACUGAGACACGGCCCAGACUCCUACGGGAGGCAGCAGUGGGGAAUAUUGCACAAUGGGCGAAAGCCUGAUGCAGCGACGCCGCGUGAGGGAUGAAGGCCUUCGGGUUGUAAACCUCUUUCAGUAGGGAAGAAGCGAAAGUGACGGUACCUGCAGAAGAAGCGCCGGCUAACUACGUGCCAGCAGCCGCGGUA
rnacentral:rRNA from 1 species